rnacentral:rRNA from 1 species
GCGAUGUUUGAUCCUGGCUCAGAACGAACGCUGGCGGCAGGCUUAACACAUGCAAGUCGAACGGGCGUGAGCGAUCACGUCAGUGGCGGACGGGUGAGUAACGCGUAGGUAUCUAUCCUCGGGUGGGGGACAACCACGGGAAACUGUGGCUAAUACCGCAUGAUGACUGAGGUCCAAAGGCGCAAGUCGCCUGGGGAGGAGCCUGCGUCCGAUUAGCUUGUUGGUGGGGUAAAGGCCUACCAAGGCUCCGAUCGGUAGCUGGUCUGAGAGGAUGAUCAGCCACACUGGGACUGAGACACGGUCCAGACUCCUACGGGAGGCAGCAGUGGGGAAUUUUGCGCAAUGGGGGAAACCCUGACGCAGCAACGCCGCGUGGAGGAUGAAGUCCCUUGGGAUGUAAACCGCUUUCAGCAGGGACGAAAUUGACGGUACCUGCAGAAGAAGCCCCGGCCAACUACGUGCCAGCAGCCGCGGUAAUAGCUG